CAGUUGUGUGGAAUCUUGGGUCACCCAUGGCUAACUCCCUAGUCCAGGGGUUGAGAACCUGCAGCCUGAAGGCGCAUGGGAGAAGCAUGGAGGGAAUGCAGGGGAGCCAAAAUGGAUAGAGUGAUGGGAGGAGGUGUGGGUGAAAGUCUUCUACAACUGUUUGAUUCAGGCCUCUGGCAAGAGUGGCCUGUCCCUCCCCGUCCCUCCCCGAAGCCCAUUGGGUAGGGAGAGACUGUGUGUCAAGCGAUGGCCCCACUCACUUUUGUCUCCAGCCAUCCCUAUUAUUGGCUUUGUUGGGAUACAAGGUUGAGUCUUAUGCAACAAACCCACUUUUCCCACUUUUUGCAAUAAGGAAAGUGAUGAGGAAAUGCACUGGAGAGUGUCUGACCUCCCCUCAAAGAAAUCAGAAUCUAGCCAAUGUUGUGUAACCUCUCAGCAAAAAAAUCAGGCAGAAUGCUCAAUAGCAGGUCCAGUGACCAUCAUAGAUAGGUCAGCUUGGCCACAAACAUCAUUUCCUGUUUCCUGUGCUUUCACUAGUUUUUCUAAACUAGGAUAUUAUUCAGUUUUCAUGUCAGAUGUUUGAACUUAAAUUCACUUCUUCUGACUUUAAGGACAAAUAACAUACUCAAGAGCCAAGAAAACACAUUUUAGGCCCCUGCAGCGCAGAUUCACCUCACUCUUGACCUGUAGCUAAACCAGAUGAGCCCUACACAGCUGCGCUCAUGCCGUUCCUUCUCCCCCUUGUGCUUUCAAGUUAAGUAGAGACACAUUUAUUAUUAUUUUCAUGCCCUAAAUUGCACUGUGUUCUACACACAGGAAAGGGUCAUAUACCGAAGGCUUGCAACUUGAGUGCAUCAGCAACACUGUGCACGUACCCAGUGUUUUCCAGCCAUAUACUCCAGGGCACCCUGUGCCCAGACAGAUAUAAAAUGACAGGUGGGCAUGAGGAGAGAAUGCAACAAGUCAAUGGUACUCUUUCUGCUCCAGAGGACUGGCACAAACAAAACUCACUUGUGCUUCCCUGGGUAGCAGACCUUUUGAUCAGGAUCUUCUGCGCAAGUAAACAAAAUAUUGCCUCUAAGGCCCACGAAUGAAGAAGAAGCAUGAACAUCUCCCCUCACUACCAUCUCAAGGCCAAAAGGACUCCCAGCUGAGCCUGCAAGGGCAUUGCCAUGAGAGGGAGAAAUGAGCUCCUGCACAACAAGAAGAAAUUGAGGGGACAGCCCUGUUCCUGAAGAUGCCUUGAUGAGGAAAGCUGUACCCAUGGAAGGCAAAGGAACUCAGGGACGCCUAGCAACUCUCUACUUGAAGGGACCAAGAGAAAAUUCUAAACACCAUUGGGGGCAGCUAUGCAAAUAUUAAGAAUAAGGGGAAAGUUACGGUUCUAAGGCAAAGAGGACAUGAUCUGAGCUUCUUGUGGUGAUGGAAUGUGUUGGAAAUUCCAAGGGAGUUCAGUGGAAGGAAAAGGCCAGAGGUGGGAGUAGGCUGGGAAGCAGCAAAAUGUGGUUAAAGUCCAACAAGCCACAUAUUGUAAAACAAGAAAUUCUUUGCAGCUGAGGAGUGGGGAUUUUUGAAGAUAACUGAGAUGAAGGAUUCGCUUUAGUGCUGCUCUCUUUUUUUCCUAGACCAGAAGUAUCGCAGAAACCUGAUUGAUUGCCUUCCAGCCUUUUGCGAUUAUGUCAUUUUGUUCUUCAGCACUGGUUCUUCAAAUAUUCUGACAGAUUCUUACAAAACUUUCACUAAUAGGGUAUGUAGAAGGAGUUGGUGGUGGUGUAGAAGGUAAUUAAUAAUUGUAAUAAUAAUAAAAGCAGUUUCAUCUGCAUUAUUUUAUUACAUAGUGGUUGUAUUGAGAGCUGCCUUGAGCGUUCAAAAAUGGGAUGCCAUAAAGGCGGAUAAAUCUAUUGUGUUUCACACCAAUAAAAUAUUUAGAGGGUUAGAA